CCUACGGGCGGCAGCAGUGAGGAAUAUUGGUCAAUGGACGGAAGGCUGAACCAGCCAUGCCGCGUGCAGGAAGAAGGCUCUAUGAGUUGUAAACUGCUUUUGUACAAGGGUAAAACUGAAUACGUGUAUUCAGCUGAAAGUACUGUACGAAUAAGGAUCGGGUAACUCCGUGCCAGCAGCCGCGGUAAUACGGAGUAUCCAAGCGUUAUCCGGAUGUAUUGGGUUUAAAGGGUGCGUAGGCGGAUUGAUAAGUUAUAGGUGAAAUGGCCGAGCUUAACUCUGGAACUGCCUCUAAUACUGUUGAUCUAGAGAGUAGAUGCGGUAGGCGGAAUGUAUGGUGUAGCGGUGAAAUGCUUAGAGAUCAUACAGAACACCGAUUGCGAAGGCAGCUUACCAAUCUAUAUCUGACGUUGAGGCACGAAAGCGUGGGGAGCAAACAGGAUUAGAUACCCGGGUAGUC
rnacentral:rRNA from 1 species